ensembl:lncRNA
CAGGGAACGGACCGUCCCGGGCUGGGAAAGGGAGAGGCUGCGAGCCACAGGUGGGCAAUCCCGCCAAACUCGCGCUCCUGCUGCGAGGGGCUUCUCGGUCCCUAGCUCCCCUCGGUCUCGGGGACCCCGGUGCAGGCAAGGAACGGAUCGCCCCAAAGAGGAGCCCGGGUUCGGGCGGCUGCUGCUCAGGGCAGGCACGGAACCGGUGGCGCUCCCCGGCUAGCAGAAGCGGCGCGCGGGACCGGCUCCUGUCCAGGCGCCCGAGCGGCACCGACGGCGACUGUCCAGGCGGGCGGGCAGCGGAGGCUGCUUUGGAGACUAGAUGGUAAAACUUCAGGCUAAAGAGAUCCCAUGCCUCAUCCAGGGACCCACAAGUCCUAAGCAAGGACUGGCAUCUAACCCCCAGGGCUGCUGAGACUUUAGGUUCACUGACUUUUCCAUUCAAAUAUGGUGCUCAUUUAAGGCUUCUGUUUCCUCUGGAAACUGGAUAAAUUUCUGGAAAAUGAAGGGGUGCAGCUCUGUGAUCACCGAGGACCCCUUGGAGCUCUCUAAAGCCCCUGGCUUUAUGACCAGCAGUUUCCAUACUGGUAUUUGGAGAGUAGGUGAGAAAACAGAAGCCAGAAGAUGUUUGGCAACAGGUCCCUCAUGAGCUGUCACAAAGGGGUUACAGUGAAACAGAGUAACUGAGUAUUGUAGGGGAAUAAAAGGAGGUUUAUGGAUCCAUUUCACGUCAUUCUUCAAUAUUAGAAGAAUAUUGAUCCACUGUAUCCUGAAAUGAAGCAAUGUGUUCUUCUCCAUUCAUAUCCACAACAUCCACACAAACUAAAUUCUUUUCUCAUCUACGCUACUCAGAACAUUUCCAGGGUCAUUCCUUCCUGUGACAUCUAUUUUCUCAGUCCCUCAAAAGGGUCCCUCAAAUAUUGCUAGAGCUCAUUUUGCCUGUAACUUUUCUCCUUAAUCCAUUAUCUGGACUAAUCUAUAUGCUUGUCCCAAUUGCUUUCUCCUUCCUCACAUAUCCUUGAGGGCAGAGACUGCUAUUGUUUUAUUUUCUGGGGGAUGGAUCUCUGAAAGUAGAUUAAAAGUCAUGGUAGAUUGGGUCAUGCCCAAUGGCAGGGAGAGUUAUGUGCCUAUCAAUGAUUGUACAAAGGCAGGAUGUGAGCCCCUCUGUCGACUGGGGCAUGUUACAUGUCGCCUUGUCCAUAGUAAAUAUCUAAUAUGUGUUUGCAUUAAAGAUUUCUCAAUUCUAAAGACUAAAACAAGGAACUUCCGUGACUAAUCUCCUUAGAACACUAAGAUUACAAAAGGAAAAAUCCUUCCUGGAUGUUGAUCAUCUUCCAAUAUUACAUGCCAUCAAAGUCUCAGUAAUGUUUGGAUUUCUUAAUUUAGGGCAGUUGAGAUGCAAGUGAAUUCCUCAGAAAACUCUUUGAACUUCUGAAGGAUUUCCCUGAUCACAACAUAGUAAGUCAACCAUGUAAAACAGAGCUUCAGCUGCCCCAUUAUCAGAAUUAUUUUUUUCUUCCACAACAUUCUUCAUAAUGUGAUAAAAGUGUGAAAAUACUCAUUUUCAGAAAAAGAACUGAGAAAAAAAGGUGGGAGGAAGGAAACCUCAGUCUUACUGAGUACAACUUUUGUUUUGAAAAAAAAACAAAACAAAACAACAACUGGGUAUUGUUAAGAGUAUUUUGGACUUGUGUCCAAAUGUACUUUUUGUAUUUACUAGCUUUUGGAGUACAGGCAGGUCACUUCAACCCUCUCUCAAUCUCAGAGGUGUUCAUCUGUAAGAUGAAAAUGGUGAAACCUGUAGAUCACCCUGAUCUACACCCCUGAAUAAGAGAACUGAUACAAGGAUAGAAAUAUCAGUUAUUUUUAUGUAGAACUUGCUUUGUUUGUUCUAGCUCAUUUUCUGUACUAUUGCUCCCAAUAGCCCUAACUAGCCUCUUUAACUUUUCAGUUCAAUCAUUUUCAUAGAUCUCUGCAAACCUUUUCUACUGUUUAUCAAACACUAGGAUUACAAAGAUAAACACAAUAUUGUCCUUGUAGUCAGCUGUUCACUUUUAUGAUGUCAGUCAAAAAUCAAUAAGCACUUAUUAAGCAAGAGAGAGAGAGAGAGACAGAGAGAGAAAGAGACAGAGAGGCAGAAAGACACAGAGACAGAGACAUAAUGGGAGAGAAUGAGAGAGACAAAGGCACCGAGACAAAGAGAAAGGAAGAGAGAACAUAUGGUCAUAUAAAUAUAUUCAAAGAAAAGACAGAUUUUGGGAUAAUCAGAAAAAAGCCUCAUGUAGAAGAUGAAAAUUUGAGAUGAUCUUGGAAGGAAGUGAGGGAAAUCAAGGAGUCUGGAGUGGGAGGAAGCAUUCAAUACAGACAGUCCAUCAAAGUUGGUGAUGGAUUGUGAAAAUGCUUUGACUAAGGUAUUAUUGAUUGCCUGUGCCAACUUCCUUUGUGCAUUUCUUUUUGCGUUCCUCAUCCAUGAGCUGUUGACCUACACAUUGAUGAGGGUUUUUUUUCUUUAAUAAGAAAAAAAAUAUUCCAGUCACAGUGAUAUGUCUUUAAAAAAAUGAUGACCAUGGGAAAUUCAUAAAUGUUGAAAAAGGCUGACUUGUUAGCACAAACCUAAUUUUAAAAUCUCUUUAAUGCUACUGAGCCCUUAGCUUUCCUUUACCAGUAAUUUAGGAAGUUUUCCCACUUGCAGAAACCUAGAGGUUUAUAAAGAAUGUUAAGAUCAUAAGCCCUUUAUAUAGGUUAUAGAGAUUCAUGUUCCUUAAAUAAUAAAAAAAGUCCAAUGUCUUUUUAGACAAGUAAUCUUUCAAAGUUUAUAUAUGACAAUAUAAAGUAUUUACACAACCACAUAUGACACAUAUGAUACUUGAUACAUUCAUUUAUUUAAUAAAUUUAUUUAGCUAAAGUACAUCUGUAAUUCCACAAACAGAGCUUGGUGCAGGGGGAAAAAGUUCACCUUUUUAAUUAAUUUAAAAUGUCAACUUCUCACCUCGUAGCUCUUUCUACUUGGAAAAGUCACAACUUCUCUGAGUUUUAUUAUCUUCACUUUUACCUUCAUUUUCAUCGAUUAAAUGAGGGGAUAGCACUGAGUAGCUUAUAAAGUCCCAUCCAGCUUUCCAUCUAUGAUUGUAUGAAGUGCCAACUGGGUCCUAGAAGUUGAAAAAGAAAGGAAGAAAUGCAAUAGUCCCUGUGCCCCCUCCCCAGCUUACAAUUCACUGGAGACAUUCCAAUCUCUUUGCAUAUAUGAUCUGUUAUAUAUUGUUAUAUAUAUACAUACAUAUAUACAUAUUAUCUGCUCUAUAUUGCUAUAUAAAUUAUAUUGUUAUAUAUAAUAUAUAUUAAGUAGAACAAAUGAAGGAGAAAUUUUAGAGAAAAGGUUUCUCCAAAGAUUCUGUUCAUCUGUUAAAGCCUGCGCAAUGGGAAAAGAGUCAAUUUUAAAUGAGGUUUCAUUGCUUAGAAUGCUUUGUUAUAUAGAGUUGGAUCAUAGCUAAACAUCUACCCACCCAUGACUAUAUUCUCCUGCUCAGGAAAUCCUGAGAAAGUGAAACAUCCUUUUGUUUUAUCCUUCAUGUCCAUAUGUGUGGUCCAAGUUUAUGUUCUGUGUGCCAGGCUGGAUCAUGGAGGGAUAUUCGGGUGCAGAUACAUAGUUCAAGAUGGGCAGUGUUCCAAAAAAGGAGAUAAUUCGGAGGCAAAAUAUGGCUGUGGGAAAAAGCCCAGGGUUCAGGAGCAGUGAGGACACUGUAUGACUAGAGAAGAAGGGAUAUACUGGCAAAUAGUCAGAGAUAUAAGAGGACAUCCAUCAGUAUCACCCUUUGAGAUCCAAGAUGACAGUAUUGGACUUGACAAGAUUAGAGUUGGACUUUUAGCUUCUAUUAGGGCAGAAAGAUGACAAAUGAAGUGUCUCAUUUUAGCAGAAAAAUGGGCAGGACUUGGUGUCCCAUUGGAGAUAAGCAAUGAAGGAGCCAUAAUCAAAAAUAACUGUGUAGGUUUUGCCUGAAGAUGAAUACUAUGAUUUUUCAGAAAUCAGAGGGGAAAUCAGUAUAGAUUUAUAUUUAGGGGAAAAUGGUAGCAUCAUAAAGAAAGCAUCCUUGGACUCUUCUUCCAAAUUUCUUUUAAGAGGAUCUUAUAUAUUCAACAGUCUGGCAGAGACUAAGUAUCUAAUUGAAAGCAGACUUGAGGAGAGCCCAGUCUUAGCUAGAUGUAUGGUCAGCACAAAGUGGCUGCUUUUCCUCCCUCCCUCCCUUUCUUUCUCCCUCCCUCCCUCUUUUUUUCCCUCCCUCCCUUCCUUCUCUUCCUCCCUCCCUCCCUCCCUCCUUCCCUCCCUCCCUCCCUCCCUCCCUCCCUUCCUCCUUCCUUCCUUCCUUCCUUCCUUCCUUCCUUCCUUCCUUCCUCCCUUCCUUCCUUCCUUCCUUCCUUCCUUCCUUUCUUCCUUCCCUCCUUCCUUCCUUCCUUCUUUUCCAUCCUUCUCUCUCUCUCUCUCUCUCUCUCUCUCUCUCUCUCUCUCUCUCUCCCUCCCUCCCUCCCUUCCUUUCUUUGUCUGUUUCUUUUUAAGAAGUUGAGUUUAGAAUAAAUUGCUACCAUUAAUAAGAUCACAGAAUCAUAUCUUUGAGUUGGAAGAGACCUCAGGUCAACCCCUAUGAAUUAAUUUCUUUAUAUGAGUCCCAGAAAAAUGAACUAUAUUUUUAAUGUAAAAUAUUUUAAUUAUAUUUUAUUUUUUUUCAAAAACAUGCAAAGAUAAUUUUCAACACAAGGUAAUAUCUUAUCCAAAAUUCCAGCAAUGAUGGGAAGAGUUGAAAUCCUCCAGCCUCUGUUUCUGAAUCUGAGAUGAUACUGGUAUCUAAGCUCUACAUCAAAAGAAGUUAAACAAUCUAAGAGGAAAAUGGGGAGGGAGUCAAUUCCAGGCACAUGGAGAGGUUGUGAAAAGAUACAGACAAAAAGAUAUUUUUAAUUCAAAAUCAAAAUUGUUAGCGAUAUAUUUUAAAUUACCAGGUUCAUUCAAUUAGCAAGAAAUCUAUCUUUUUCCACUCAGCCUAUGGAAGAAAUGCUCAUUUUAUGUAAUUAUUUGAUGCUAAAUUAAAUCCAUAAAGCCCAGAGAUAUAGAACUUUUAAAAAUGGAAAAUUCCCAUUCUUGGUCAAGAUACAAACUAUGAAUGACUUUCUUGUAUAUCCCAACUUUGUUCUUCAACUACACAUAGAAUCAUUAAAUUCCAUUUUUAUGUGGGAAGAGAAAUUAUGAUUAAUAUGAAUAAUUAAAAACAUUUAAAUUAUAUUUGGUUCAGGGAUAUAAUCAAUCAGUGUGGUUUUAUUAAGUACUCAUCAUUUUCCAGACAUUUUGUUGAUAAUGGAGAUUCAAAGGGGAAAAAAAAAAAAGACAGUCCUUGUCCUUAAGGAGUUUACAUUGUAAUGGGCAUGUAGAGUUUUAGGCUUGAAGUCAGAAAGUCAAUGCCAGUUCAUACACCUAUUACAUGUGUGACCUUGAACAAGCCACUUAACUUCUGCUUACCUCAAUCUCUUCAUCUGUAAAUUGGGAAUAAUAAUAGCAACCAUCUCAUAAAAUUGUUAUAAGGACUAAAUACUUAAAACACUCUAUAAAUAUAUUAUUAUUGUUAUUAUUAUCCUAUGAAUACAUACAUAUGUAUUUCAUUCCAAUUAUGCCUAUUUCUGGAUCCUUCCUGACUUGUUCCUAAUUUUUUUAAGUUGAAGAUCUAGAAACAUAAAUGUCACUUCAGAAGAUGGAUUCAAGAAAAGCCUUUGGACCUGACCUAUUAACCACAAAAGAAACUCUUACUGGAGGCAGCCCAAGUUUAAAAUCAUUUGAAGAUUGGUUCACAAAAUCUCUCAGAGGGCAAGAUAAAUACUUGCUAAACUGAAUCAAAUUCCAAAAGAUUAGAAAAGGUCACAAUGUGGGGAGAGGGCUAGGGAGUUUACAAAAAAUUUAGACCCAGAAAACCAUCCAUUGACAUAUAUGCUUUUCUUAGAACAAAUCCACUUAUUCAUAUAUAAUCAGGGAAUGAUGAAUCAACCAUCCCAAAUUGCUUCUUAAAACAAAAUCCAUCUUUUAAUUACAAUAUUCUCCUGGCGUUGUUGUAUUUUUGUGCAUCAUGGGCUCUUGAAGUUUCUUUAGGACUGAAUGGUUUGAAUGGGUAUUGGGGUGUGUGUCGGGGGGAGAGGUGAUAGUUGUUGGAGCAGGCUACAACACAUUACCAUGGAGUAAUGGAAUUGUGGCAAGGCAACUAAAAAGCCAAUAGGUUUUUGAGUGGGUAUAAGAUAUAACCAAUGGAGCCCUUAUGUGUUUUGUUAUUGCCCUUUUGAUGUCAAGAAAAAUGCAAGUGAGAGAUAAUUUUAGGUAGAUCUCCUUUGGUGAAUUUUUGGUAAGAACAAGGAAUUGAAAAAAAAUGCAGGAAGACAGGAAUAUAUGGCUUGUCAUCUGUAUUGUUGAUGGAAAUGUCCACAGGAGGCAGCAGGAUUCUAUGAGAACAGUGACUUUGUGGUUAAAGGGCCUACCUUAAAAAAAACUAACUCUGCCAAUGAUUGUAAUUACGUCUUCACCUCAGUUUCCUUAACUGAAAAAUAUUUAGGUUGAAUUAGAUAAUCUCUGAAGGCAACUCUAACUCUAAAAUCUCUGAUUCCAUGAAAUCCCAUAUCUCUUAGAGCAUUUGAUUAUGGCUUCAAUCAAGCUAAUUAGCUUUAAUUCUUUUUCAGGCAAUACGGAC